rnacentral:piRNA from 1 species
UACAAGUGUGUCGUAGGCUAC